AAGCGUUAAGGAUAGUAGCGGCAUCCUUUUUUUGGCUACCCACAAUAAUAGUUUUGGCCAAAAAAAGAUAUAGCGAAUAGCCUGCCCGAUA
rnacentral:ncRNA from 2 species